GGACAUUAGGGCUAGAUCAGCUUCUAAUGGUAUUGCUGUAAAUACCGUUUCUGACCCCAAAGGGUUUUAUAGUUUGAACUCAAAUGAUCGCAAAUGUAUUUGUACUUAGUUAACCUGCUCAGAUGACAUGAGUACGUCUUAGAAAUCCAGAAAUGCAAUAUCCAGUAUUACAGUGGAUCUAAUAGCACUGGAUUACAUUGUUUUUCUUAAUACAAUCUGUUGAAUACUAACAUGCUUUUGACCCAGUGAGGGUAUUGUCCUUUCACAGCCACACAACGAGCAUUGUAGUCCUUUCUCCUGGGAUAGGAGACAUUUUGUUUUCGUGCUCUUUUCACACCAGCACUCCCUUUUCCCACAGAAACCCUCUCCUUUCUCCCGUUCCAAGGCAGCCCUUUUCAAACCGGGAAGCUCCAGGCAGGAUCAGGGAGGCAGGAGCAGCCGUCCCUCUAGUCCCUGUCUCAGCCCAGCCGCUGGGGUCUGCAUGGGGCUGGGAAAGCCACCCCCUCGUCAGUCCUCUCCGCGAACCCAUCCUCAUCCCAGGUUCCCCUCCCCCUGCCUCUGGCCCUGUCGUCUGGGAGCCCCCGAAGGUGUGACACCUCACACAGGGAUCGGAGAGCAGGAGCCCCGGGGGUCAGUCAGAGCUGGGUGAGUGUUUGUGCGUGAGCUAGUAGUGGUUGGGAGUUGUGAGGGAGGGAAGUGGGAGGGUGGUGUAGAGAGAGCUGGUGUGUGUCGCUCCGUUCUGUUCUCUGAGUUCGGUUCUCUAUAGUUCUAUGCAGUUCCGAGGUGGCAGAAAAGCUAAGGGCAACA
rnacentral:lncRNA from 1 species